AGAGUUUGAUCAUGGCUCAGAACGAACGCUGGCGGCAGGCUUAACACAUGCAAGUCGAGCGCCCCGCAUGGGGAGCGGCAGACGGGUGAGUAACGCGUGGGAACCUACCUGAAGGUACGGAACAACUCCGGGAAACUGGAGCUAAUACCGUAUGUGCCCGAAAGGGGAAAGAUUCAUCGCCUUCAGAUGGGCCCGCGUCAGAUUAGCUAGUUGGUGAGGUAACGGCUCACCAAGGCGACGAUCUGUAGCUGGUCUGAGAGGAUGACCAGCCACACUGGGACUGAAACACGGCCCAGACUCCUACGGGAGGCAGCAGUGGGGAAUAUUGGACAAUGGGCGAAAGCCUGAUCCAGCCAUGCCGCGUGAGUGAUGACGGCCUUAGGGUUGUAAAGCUCUUUCGACGGGGACGAUAAUGACGGUACCCGUACAAGAAGCCCCGGCUAACUUCGUGCUAGCAGCCGCGGUAAUUC
rnacentral:rRNA from 1 species